rnacentral:rRNA from 1 species
AGGGCACCACCAGGAGUGGAGCCUGCGGCUUAAUUUGACUCAACACGGGAAAACUCACCCGGCCCGGACACCGUAAGGAUUGACAGAUUGAUAGCUCUUUCAUGAUUCGGUGGUUGGUGGUGCAUGGCCGUUCUUAGUUCGUGGAUCGAUUUGUCUGGUUUAUUCCGAUAACGAGCGAGACUCUAGCCUACUAAAUAGUAACGGGAUUACUUUUGUCCCGGUUGCUUCUUAGAGGGAUUUUCGGUGUUUAGCCGCACGAGAUUUUUUUUUUAACAGGUCUGUGAUGCCCUUAGAUGUCCGGGGCUGCACGCGCGCUACACUGGCGAAAUCAGCGUGCUGUAUCCAUUCUCGGAAGGGAUUGGUAAACCCAUGAAAAUUUGCCGUGCUUGGGAUCGGAAAUUGCAAUUAUUGUCCGUGAACGAGGAAUUCCUUGUAGGGGCGAGUCAUCAACUCGCUCUGAAUACGUCCCUGCCCUUUGUACACACCGCCCGUCGCUGCCCGGGACUGAGCCAUUUCGAG